GACGAACGCUGGCGGCGUGCCUAAUACAUGCAAGUAGAACGCUGAAGGAGGAGCUUGCUUCUCUGGAUGAGUUGCGAACGGGUGAGUAACGCGUAGGUAACCUGCCUGGUAGCGGGGGAUAACUAUUGGAAACGAUAGCUAAUACCGCAUAAGAGUAGAUGUUGCAUGACAUUUGCUUAAAAGGUGCAAUUGCAUCACUACCAGAUGGACCUGCGUUGUAUUAGCUAGUUGGUGAGGUAACGGCUCACCAAGGCAACGAUACAUAGCCGACCUGAGAGGGUGGUCGGCCACACUGGGACUGAGACACGGCCCAGACUCCUACGGGAGGCAGCAGUAGGGAAUCUUCGGCAAUGGACGGAAGUCUGACCGAGCAACGCCGCGUGAGUGAAGAAGGGUUUCGGAUCGUAAAGCUCUGUUGUAAGAGAAGAACGAGUGUGAGAGUGGAAAGUUCACACUGUGACGGUAUCUUACCAGAAAGGGACGGCUAACUACGUG
rnacentral:rRNA from 1 species